rnacentral:tRNA from 1 species
GCAGUGGCUGUUCAGUGGUAGAAUUCUCACCUUUCAUGUGGAAGACCUGGGUUUGAUUCCCAGACAAUGUA